UCUGUAGCUCAGUGGUAGAGAACGUGCAUUGCAUGCCAAAGGUCCCAGGUUCAAUCCCUGACGUCACAA